AUUGAACGCUGGCGGCAGGCCUAACACAUGCAAGUCGAACGAGUGGCGGAAGGGUGAGUAAUGUCUGGGAAAAUGCCUGAUGGAGGGGGAUAACUACUGGAAACGGUAGCUAAUACCGCAUACCCUCAGAUGUGCCCAGAGGGGAUUAGCUAGUAGGGGGGGUAAAGGCGCACCUAGGCGACGAUCCCUAGCUGGUCUGAGAGGAUGACCAGCCCCACGGGAACUGAGACACGGUCCAGACGCCUUCGGGAGGCAGCAGUGGGGAAGAUUGCACAAUGGGCGCAAGCCUGAUGCAGCCGUGCCGCGUGUAUGAAGAAGGCCUUCGGGUUGUAAAGUACUUUCAGCGGGGAGGCGUUACCCGCAGAAGAAGCACCGGCUAACGCCGUGCAAGCCGCCGCGGUAAUAC
rnacentral:rRNA from 1 species